UUUAACAAUUUUGACCAUGAUUAACUGGAAAGAAUUGACGCUUUGAUAUACGAGAAGCUUCAUAAAAUUGAGUCCAUACUUCAACGGAUAGUUCCCCGAGGUCUUCUUGCCGAUAUAAAAUACACCUGUUGAUAGAAGAACUCGAUUACCGGCAUGCUAUUUCAGCGCUUCCAGAACUUCAUAUAGAGAACUCUAGACGAACCCUGUAGCGAGCACUAGACAGGCGCGGGGGCGGGACACAGCUCGGAGUCCCGAACGAAGGACCGUCAACAAACGUGACCAUUCCAUUCCCCGGACAGAACUUGACUUCCGGUUCGAAGAGUUCCGGUUCAGCGUCUGAAAAAAGGUCCCCAUCUUUCUGUGUAACA